GGUUUAAUUCGAUGCAACGCGAAGAACCUUACCAGGCCUUGACAUCCUCGGAACUUUCCAGAAAUGGAUUGGUGCCUUCGGGAACCGAGAGACAGGUGCUGCAUGGCUGUCGUCAGCUCGUGUCGUGAGAUGUUGGGUUAAGUCCCGUAACGAGCGCAACCCUUGUCCUUAGUUGCCAGCAUUUCGGAUGGGAACUCUAAGGAGACCGCCGGUGACAAACCGGA
rnacentral:rRNA from 1 species